rnacentral:rRNA from 1 species
GCAGCGCGGGGCAACCUGGCGGCGAGUGGCGAACGGGUGAGUAAUACAUCGGAACGUGCCCAGUCGUGAGGGAUAACGUAGCGAAAGCUACGCUAAUACCGCAUACGAACUGAGGUUGAAAGCGGGGGAUCGCAAGACCUCGCGCGAUUGGAGCGGCCGAUGGCAGAUUAGGUAGUUGGUGGGGUAAAGGCCUACCAAGCCGACGAUCUGUAGCUAGUCUGAGAGGACGACCAGCCACACUGGAACUGAGACACGGUCCAGACUCCUACGGGAGGCAGCAGUGGGGAAUUUUGGACAAUGGGCGCAAGCCUGAUCCAGCAAUGCCGCGUGCAGGAUGAAGGCCUUCGGGUUGUAAACUGCUUUUGUACGGAACGAAAAGGCUCUUUUUAAUAAAGAGGGCUCAUGACGGUACCGUAAGAAUAAGCACCGGCUAACUACGUGCCAGCAGCCGCGGUAAUACGUAGGGUGCGAGCGUUAAU